rnacentral:tRNA from 1 species
GGGCGUGUAGCUCAGUUGGUAGAGUACUUGCCCAGCAUGCAUGAAGCCCUGGGUUCUAAUCCACUCCUAGCUCU